rfam:Myotis lucifugus cont2.13599, whole genome shotgun sequence.
GGCCUCCCUCUGCGGGGCGAUUGACCUGGGGGCCCCGGAUCAAUUGCCUCACAGAGGGAGGCC